rnacentral:rRNA from 1 species
UGGGAACCUGACGCGCUUCGUGCGCCGAGAAACGCUUUGUGAACUUAUACCUACUGCUGCCUCCCGUAGAGGCCGGCCCCUUCACUGGGGCCCCCCGGAGACGGGGAGCAGCCCGCCGGCGGCCAACUAAACUCUUGUUUCUAUAGUGAAUCUCUGAGUAAAAAACAUAAAUGAAUCAAAACUUUCAACAACGGAUCUCUUGGUUCUGGCAUCGAUGAAGAACGCAGCGAAAUGCGAUAAGUAAUGUGAAUUGCAGAAUUCAGUGAAUCAUCGAAUCUUUGAACGCACAUUGCGCCCCCUGGUAUUCCGGGGGGCAUGCCUGUUCGAGCGUCAUUUCAACCCUCAAGCCUGGCUUGGUGAUGGGGCACUGCUUCGAGAGGAGCAGGCCCUGAAAUUCAGUGGCGAGCUCGCCAGGACCCCGAGCGUAGUAGUUAUAUCUCGCUUUGGAAGGCCCUGGCGGUGCCCUGCCGUUAAACCCCCAACUUCUGAAAAUUUGACCUCGGAUCAGGUAGGAAUACCCGCUGAACUUAAGCAUAUCAAUAAGCGGAGGAA